AAAAGAUAAAUGGGUGCAGCAUAUGUACACCAUAACUAACGACUACCACUUGUGUUGCCUCACUCAAUUGUUUGUUUACAAAAGCAUACCAUUUUUUUUAUAAUUUGUUGGCACCAUUGCAAAGGCUACACAAACGUAAUUGUAAAUCCUGUUUGGCGAGGUCUUGCAGCAAUGUGCGAUGCUGUGGUGUGUGCUACAAUGACUGCCCGCAGUAACAAAGCCUAAUCCAAGCAUUCUUUACCAACACCAAAAAUGUUUUGCAAGUAUAAUACUCGUGGAUUGAAACAGAACAGGACAAUUUAGGGCUAAGUAAUGCACAUACUUGCAUUUGCUCACUUUUCAGUUCAGGUUAUAUAGGCAUAAUUUUGAUUCGGACAUGUACAUCAAAGCCAAUAUCAUCUUUACUAACCAGAUUUGAUAUGACUUGACUUUGUUAUCACGAACAAUUGUGCAUACCAAUUAUUCUAAAAAAACUUCAUGUUACGUUUGAAUCCAUGAACAUUCUACAUACAGUAACAUAGAGAAGGAGAAUGUGUUCUUAAUCUUGGUACUACCAGAGGUAACCGAAUAAUAAAAAAUGUCAAUUGGCACAUGUUCUACAUUGAAUAUCUUAUGCCUUUAAUUGAAACCUCUUCAUAUUUGUCUGAUAGCCAAGGCAAUUAGUAUACUUGAACAUAGUAACAUGUUGUUACCUAGUGUCAGAGUGCUCAGAUGCAGGACACUAAAAAAAAAAAAACAUUUGUAGCACUGGGCUUUGUUACUAUAAUUAGGCCACAAGCACAUUAUUUUUGUCUAACAACCUUUUUGCUACGUUUACUUUGGUUACCACACUUAGCGACUCGGAAGCAUCUAGCAUGUAAAAGCACUUAAUGCUGUUUAUUUCUUGGUUGCAGUGCACCCGCACCUCCAACGACUCGGACCACUGCUACACCAUCUGUGGCUGUGCCUUCCCUGGGAAGCAACAAUGGGCCAGAUGUUUUUUUGUUAAAAGAAACUGCAAGCCGAGCACAUGUACCAUUGCAACAACAUGCUGCACAGCAGCCCACAGUUAGCCAUGUAGCCCCUGAAAAACGAAGAAGCAGCACUGGCGAAGCUGACAAGGGUCUCGAGGACAUGACCUGGGCUAGUGCACAGAACAUCAGAUUUUUCAAACAAAUGCAGGAGAAGUUUGCGAGGCUCAGUCCAGAAGUAGUGUGGACGAUGAAGGCCGACAUUCUCAAUAUGCUCGACAAGGCAGCCAAGCCUUAAAAACAAACUGCGAUAACUACCUUGCUAGACUGCUCCGCUCAAGUCCCAUAGCCCCACCUAACAAUAGCUAUUUUAAAUAGCACAUAGAUAACAUCAGAUCAGUUCAGUUCAGUCUGAACUCUUGCACAGUCUAAAAGGCCACAUAUCAUACCUAUUAUAAUAUGCAACUGUGGUGUGAACAUGAGUAAACAUGAUUAUGCCGCACUGUGGAUACUGGAAAUCACUUCAAGGCUUCCCAUUAUAUGACAGCUGAACAUAACUGUGACUAUUGGUUGCAUGUUAGGCAAUGGUCAUCUUGAUGCCUUGGUGAGAUUUGGUUCAUUGAAUAAAAAACUACAUAUUGUAACGCACGGUUCAAUGAAAACAUUUAAUAAGCUAAUGUAGGCAGGGCGAACUUGUGCCCGAGAAUAAUAACACAGCUAGAAUGAAAUCGCCUAGUUGUUUCGAGAAUUCACUUCUGCCUCUUCUUUCACGUUCUUUUUUCCAACACGGUUCGCGCACAGCUGGGCCCGCAGGCUCGUGCGUCGCAAACCAUCUGGAGGGCACAAGUAUCGGCUAGCGCACGUAACUUGAAGUCACAUUGUGUUUAUCGCAAGUAAGGAACACUGACACCUAUAAUUCAGCAACCUAUCAUUUACCCAAGCACUAAAUAAACUCUCCCUCCUCUGCAAA
rnacentral:lncRNA from 1 species